GUUGUGAAGAGAGGCUCCAGCUGACUGUGGCUUGCUUUCUCAGCAAAAUGGUGCAAUUACAGCUCCCCAUCUGUGACCCUAUCUCUCUAAAUCAUCUGGCCUCGCCUGGGACUCCCUGGGUGUCUUGGAUUACAAUUCUAUCAUAUCAUUUUGAAGGCCAUACUGAUUGAGAAUGAUGCUAUGGCUGACCAUAGAUGAACAGAAGAAUUUCUCUCUUUUUAAUGAAGAAAAGCCUAAUUAAACAACCCUGUGAGAUGUCUUGGGCUGAAAGAAUGUGACUGGCCAAGGCCACCCAGCUGGCUUUCAUGGCUAAGUGAUCUUUCAUCAUCAGUUCCCAACUGAAGCUAGCUACUCAGCAUGGAAUUCCUAUUGCUUCCCCCGGAAGAAGACUUUAUCUAUCCAAGCCAGGAGAAGUUUGUCCUGUAAUUAUGAACUGAGAAAAACAAUCCUUUUACUCUGUGUGAUAAAUUGUGAUAUGAAACUCUCUGAAAGUUAUUGAACACCUUGCUCGUAAAUUCAUAAAAAUCUGAAAAGCUUACUGGAAUUCUUUGACUAAAUUUGAAAUAUAGUAGUCUAU